rnacentral:rRNA from 1 species
AGCGAACGCUGGCGGCAUGCCUAACACAUGCAAGUCGAACGAGACCUUCGGGUUUAGUGGCGCACGGGUGCGUAACGCGUGGGAACCUGCCCUUAGGUUCGGAAUAACUCCCCGAAAGGGGUGCUAAUACCGGAUAAUGUCUUCGGACCAAAGAUUUAUCGCCUUUGGAUGGGCCCGCGUUGGAUUAGCUAGUUGGUAGGGUAAAAGCCUACCAAGGCGACGAUCCAUAGCUGGUCUGAGAGGAUGAUCAGCCACACUGGGACUGAGACACGGCCCAGACUCCUACGGGAGGCAGCAGUGGGGAAUAUUGGACGAUGGGCGAAAGCCUGAUCCAGCAAUGCCGCGUGAGUGAUGAAGGCCUUAGGGUUGUAAAGCUCUUUUACCCGGGAUGAUAAUGACAGUACCGGGAGAAUAAGCUCCGGCUAACUCCGUG